GUCUCCGUGGCGCAAUUGGUUAGCGCGUUCGACUGUUACCCCCACACGACAUCGAGAGGUUGACAGUUCAAUCCUGUCCGGGGACG
rnacentral:tRNA from 1 species